rnacentral:rRNA from 1 species
UACGUAGGCAGCGAGCGUUGUUCGGAGUUACUGGGCGUAAAGGGUGUGUAGGCGGUUUUCUAAGUUUGGUGUGAAAUCUCCCGGCUCAACCGGGAGGGUGCGCCGAAAACUGGGAGACUAGAGUGCGGGAUGGGAGAGUAGAAUUCCUGGUGUAGCGGUGAAAUGCGUAGAUAUCAGGAGGAAUACCGGUGGUGUAGACGGCUCUCUGGACCGCAACUGACGCUGAGACACGAAAGCGUGGGUAGCAAACAGG